rnacentral:rRNA from 1 species
GUAGUCAUUAUGCUUGUCUCAAAGAUUAAGCCAUGCAUGUCUAAGUAUAAGCAACUAUACAGUGAAACUGCGAAUGGCUCAUUAAAUCAGUUAUCGUUUAUUUGAUAGUACCUUACUACUUGGAUAACCGUGGUAAUUCUAGAGCUAAUACAUGCUAAAAAUCCCGACCUCCGGAAGGGAUGUAUUUAUUAGAUAAAAAACCAAUGCCUUCGGGCUCCUUGGUGAUUCAUGAUAACUUAACGAAUCGCAUGGCCUUGCGCCGGCGAUGGUUCAUUCAAAUUUCUGCCCUAUCAACUUUCGAUGGUAGGAUAGUGGCCUACCAUGGUUUCAACGGGUAACGGGGAAUUAGGGUUCGAUUCCGGAGAGGGAGCCUGAGAAACGGCUACCACAUCCAAGGAAGGCAGCAGGCGCGCAAAUUACCCAAUCCCAAUUCGGGGAGGUAGUGACAAUAAAUACUGAUACAGGGCUCUUUUGGGUCUUGUAAUUGGAAUGAGUACAAUUUAAAUCCCUUAACGAGGAACAAUUGGAGGGCAAGUCUGGUGCCAGCAGCCGCGGUAAUUCCAGCUCCAAUACCGUAUAUUAAAGUUGUUGCAGUUAAAAAGCUCGUAGUUGAACCUUGGGUUUGGCUGCUCGGUCCGCCUAACCGCGUGCACUGAUGCGGCCGGAUCUUUCCUUCUGGCUAACCUCAUGCCCUUUACUGGGUGUGCUGGGGAUCCAGGACUUUUACUUUGAAAAAAUUAGAGUGUUCAAAGCAGGCCUUUGCUCGAAUACAUUAGCAUGGAAUAAUAGAAUAGGACGGAGGUUCUAUUUUGUUGGUUUCUAGAGCCACCGUAAUGAUUAAUAGGGACAGUCGGGGGCAUCAGUAUUCAAUUGUCAGAGGUGAAAUUCUUGGAUUUAUUGAAGACUAACUACUGCGAAAGCAUUUGCCAAGGAUGUUUUCAUUAAUCAGUGAACGAAAGUUAGGGGAUCGAAGACGAUCAGAUACCGUCGUAGUCUUAACCAUAAACUAUGCCGACUAGGGAUCGGGCGGUGUUCAACUUAUGACCCGCUCGGCACCUUACGAGAAAUCAAAGUUUUUGGGUUCUGGGGGGAGUAUGGUCGCAAGGCUGAAACUUAAAGGAAUUGACGGAAGGGCACCACCAGAUGUGGAGCCUGCGGCUUAAUUUGACUCAACACGGGGAAACUCACCAGGUCCAGACACAUUAAGGAUUGACAGAUUGAGAGCUCUUUCUUGAUUAUGUGGGUGGUGGUGCAUGGCCGUUCUUAGUUGGUGGAGUGAUUUGUCUGCUUAAUUGCGAUAACGAACGAGACCUUAACCUGCUAAAUAGCCAGGCUAGCUUUUGCUGGUCGCCGGCUUCUUAGAGGGACUAUCGGCUCAAGCCGAUGGAAGUUUGAGGCAAUAACAGGUCUGUGAUGCCCUUAGAUGUUCUGGGCCGCACGCGCGCUACACUGACAGAGCCAACGAGUAUAAACCUUAACCGAGAGGUUUGGGUAAUCUUGUUAAACUCUGUCGUGCUGGGGAUAGGGCAUUGCAAUUAUUGCCCUUCAACGAGGAAUAUCUAGUAAGCGCNAGUCAUCAGCUUGCGUUGAUUACGUCCCUGCCCUUUGUACACACCGCCCGUCGCUACUACCGAUUGAAUGGCUCAGUGAGGCCUUCGGACUGGCCCCAAGCGGUCGGCAACGACCACAUACGAGGCCGGAAA